ACGUAGGGGGCGAGCGUUGUCCGGAUUUACUGGGCGUAAAGAGCGCGUAGGUGGUUGGGUAGGUUGGUGGUGAAAGGUUGGGGCUUAACCCCAAGAGGUCCACCAAGACCGCCCGACUGCGAGGGCAGUAGAGGACGGUAGAAUUCCGGGUGUAGUGGUGAAAUGCGUAGAGAUCCGGAGGAAUACCGGUGGCGAAGGCGGCCGUCUGGGCUGUCCCUGACACUGAGGCGCGAAAGCGUGGGGAGCGAACUGAAUUAGAUACUCAGGUAGUCCACGCCCUCAACGAUGGACACUAGGUGUGGGGGGUAUCGACCCCUCCCGUGCCGGAGCUAACGCAGUAAGUGUCCCGCCUGGGGAGUACGGCCGCAAGGCUA
rnacentral:rRNA from 1 species